GCUCUAAUUGCUUGGUAUUUCAGCUUGUUUCGUCCUGAUCGAAUUAAGGCUUUGGUUAAUCUAAGUGUUGUGUUCCGUCCUAGACACCCUUCACGAAAACCGGUGGAUACCUUGCGAGAAUUGUUCGGUAAUGACUAUUAUAUGUGUAGUAAGAUUUUGUUGGAGAAACAUAGCAUGAAGAAAAGCAUAUAUUAUGAACAUAACAUUAUACCUGCCGUAACUUUUUUUUAAAUUCUACUGUGAAUAUGUUAUUCAACUAGCCAGAAUACAUAUCCAUACAGUUGGAUAAAACAAAUUGGUGAAGUAGUUGUAAGUAUAUACCACAAAAAAAAGAAGAUGAAUUAAAUCUUUGAAUAUUGCUUUGUUUUGGAUGUUUUUGUCUAAGAAUUUUUUUUCUUAAUUGGAUUAAUAAUUUUGUGUGCGUUCGGUAAUGACUAUUAUAUGUGUAGGUUUCAGGUAUAUUUAUUUUUCUGGAGAUUUCAGGAAUAUUGCUUUCUUUUUUUGUCGUUGUUGUUCCACUAGCAUGAAUGGAUCGGUAAAUUAGUUGGCUUUCUACUCUUUGGUCUUUGGAUGAACAUAUAGUAAACUCUGCCUAUUUGAGCUUUGAAUAGCUGGUCCGGGUUUGGUAAUGUAGAAUAGGGACUGUGACAUCAAACCUCAUACCUGCAAAUUCUUUGGCCUUUUUUUUUUGCCAAUUUGCUUUUGGCAGCUAGUAAGACAAGAGGGCUUGCUCUGAUAGUAAGCAACCCCCACAUCCAACCGAGAGAUUGUGAGUUCGAGUCUCUCCAAGAGCAAGGUGGGAAGUUCUUGGAGGGAAAGAUGCCGAGGGUCUAUUUGAAAACAGCCUCUCUACCCCAGGGUAGGGGUAAGGUCUGCAUACAUACUAUCCUUCUCAAACCCCACUAAGUGGGAUUAUAUUGGGUUGUUGUUGUUGUUGUUGCUUUUGGCAGCUAGCAUUGAAGCCGAUAUACAAAUCAAACAAGAACUAGCAAUUUGUUCCCUGGUAACUUAUGUGAAUAAUAUACUUAGAUCCAGAGAUAGGAACCCUGAUGAACAAACCAGUUACUUAAACUUUGGUGACUUUGAUGAGAAUUUGGUCAGUUACUUCAACUGUGGAAGAGAGAUGAAUCCUAAUGCCUAAACUCUUUCUGGAAUUUAGUAUUGAUAAUGAUAGUAAGGCUCCUUACUAUGAUUUGUUAAUCAGUUCUUUUACCCUCUUUAAGUGAGUUUGUAAAUUCUUGUUUGGUCAUUUGUAUCAGCUCUGCCUUUUAAGUUUGUGGCCACUUUAUCUUCUCCAAAGUGAAGAGAAAAUGGUUGAAUGAUAUUCUUUCAGUGAUUAGAGGGUCUUACAUUCUUUACUCAAGUUAUAGGUGCUGCGAAAUAAAAUACAAUUUCAUUCUUAAAUUUUAUGUUGGUGCUUGUUCUUUCUAGCGAAACAUUACGUAGCGUUUGGCAUAUUUCUCUGAUGCUUAUUGGACCUUUUCUGAUUGCUGUUACCCUUCAUAUGACUGCUUUUCCUUUCUUUCUAUGCCUUUUCUUGAAUGGAGUGGUUAAAGAAAGGAAAGAUGACAGAUUCACUAUUAAAAGAUUUAUAGGCUUUAAACCAAACUUCAUUUCUUCACUUGGCUAGUAAACCAUUUUUAAGAGAUCUAAUAUUUCCUCCUUCAUCUGUCGAACUAGCUACAGUAACAACAAGGUGCCACUAAAUUUCAAGUAAUUGUGUUUUGUUAAUGUGAAAAUAAUGCAAUGAUAUUCGAUCAACGCAGAUUGUUUUCGAAUUUCGCAGUAGUAAACUUUUUUGGUUUUUUCCGAUGCUGCUAUUAUAUUCAGAAACCUGGGGAAGUGGAAGAGGAGUUUGCUUCUGUUGAUACUGCAAUUGUCAUUAAGGGAUUUCUUUCUUCACGUGAUC
rnacentral:lncRNA from 1 species